UACGUAGGUGACAAGCGUUGUCCGGAUUUACUGGGCGUAAAGAGCGCGCAGGCGGUCGUUCAAGUCGAGUGUGAAAGCCCCCGGCUCAACUGGGGAGGGUCACGCGAUACUGAUCGACUCGAAGGCAGGAGAGGGUAGUGGAAUUCCCGGUGUAGUGGUGAAAUGCGUAGAUAUCGGGAGGAACACCAGUGGCGAAGGCGACUACCUGGCCUGUUUCUUGACGCUGAGGCGCGAAAGCUAGGGGAGCAAACGGG
rnacentral:rRNA from 1 species